rnacentral:rRNA from 1 species
CACGUAGGCGGAUUGGAAAGUUGGAGGUGAAAUCCCAGGGCUCAACCUUGGAACUGCCUUCAAAACUAUCAGUCUGGAGUUCGAGAGAGGUGAGUGGAACUCCGAGUGUAGAGGUGAAAUUCGUAGAUAUUCGGAGGAACACCAGUGGCGAAGGCGGCUCACUGGCUCGAUACUGACGCUGAGGUGCGAAAGUGUGGGGAGCAAACA